GUCCCACAAGGUCCUUUAAAGAUACCGCCAUUGUAGUGAUUGAAGUAAUAAGAGCUAGCAUCAAUAGCAAUAACUGUCGGCUGGUUCGCCACAGCAUACAUGAUCGCACGUUCAUUGUAGCUAGGUUGUACCUGUUGAUAGCCGGUAAUAUAAGCUGCGUUCGGUUUGCUAUUUGCAGCGCAAGUGCCUUUAUAUCCUACAUAGGGAUAGUUCGCCUGCGCGGUCACGCCCUUGUUAGCGAUGAUGAAUUCGUAGGCUUUGUGCACCCAACCAGAUGUGCACCCGUUGCUAACAGUACAAUCUAAAACUUCUUGCUCCGAUAGAGAUAUUAGUUGUCCUGUUUUGAUCUUGUAGAUGCCUUCUACCGUCGCGAUUGAAGAGAAUGCCCAGCAAGAACCUAAUUUCAAAACAUAUAUUCAAGUAAUUAGCACAACUGGUACAAGCAAAAGUUUCGUAGAUUAUUAAUUAAGAUGUAAGAAGAACAUUCAAACAAGUAUGGACAAGGUGGAAAUAUUGAUUACUGUAUUACUUUAUUAUCUAUGUUGUUUACUUGUGUGAAAAUGAUUAAUGUCGUCAUACUUCUUGUCAGAAAUUAAUUUUUCUAGAAACUUAAACUAUCGAAGAAUGAUUUCUAAUUAUUAAGAAUUAAUACACCUUACGUGUAAUCUACAAAUUUAUAGAUAGUAGAUGAUAACGUGUGUUCGUACACUUUUAGUUCGUCUGAGACAUGAACCUUGCAUUUAAAUGCGGUAGAGGUUUGAUUUCUUUGUCAACAUAAAUGGCUGAUGGAACAGUGAGAUUUGGGCCCAAGGCAUCCUAUUCUCAUCAGGUUAAUUAAAAAAUAAAAUUUGUAAAGGUUCAGGAUGCUAUAGCUAGAAAUUAAUGUGCUUUAGUUCUCUAAACUCAACACUUGAUUCUUACCGCAAGAGCCUUGAUUCUUGACUGGUGUGACGGCACCGUAAUCCCUCCAAUCAAUGCUUUGAGGUAUCGCGGACAUGUUUACAUCCUCAAACGACACCGAUGGCUCUAAAUUUGUCAUAUUUAGAGGAAGAGAUAGACCGACAUGCUGAGCCACAAUUUCAUUAUUUGUCAUGUCAGCGAAUUGGUUAAUGCCCAGAGUAUACGAGUUUCCGCCACGCCUGUUAAAGGCUUCGAUGCGGUUUACAUUGUCUUUAAAGAUCUCAAAACGGCGCAUCUUCUCAGCAUCGUCACUGUAAACUCGGCCGAAAUCAGCCAUCCAUUCUUCAAACCUCUUCAUCAUCGAAUCAUCUGCUUCGCCGCGAGAAGCCAACGACGAAGCCCACAUCACAGAAAGAAACAAAAAAAGAAACAAUAUUUGGAAUUUGGAAGCCAUAGCUCUGACUUACAAAUGCUUUUGUUGCUGAGAGUUAGGCUCUCCGCAUCGAGUUUAUAUAGAAGUUCUCGGCCCAUGCACUAAAGUUGCUGGACCAUUAAAUNUCGAAUCAUCUGCUUCGCCGCGAGAAGCCAACGACGAAGCCCACAUCACAGAAAGAAACAAAAAAAGAAACAAUAUUUGGAAUUUGGAAGCCAUAACUCUGACUUACAAAUGCUUUCGUUGCUGAGAGUAAGGCUCUCCGCAUCGAGUUUAUAUAGAAGUUCUCGGCCUAUGUACUAAAGUUGCUGGACCAUUAAAUUUUAAUUUUUUAAAAACUUUUUUUAGAGGAAAAGAUACAACGUGCAUGUGAUGAAAUCAUUAAUUAAUUUCUCUCUUAUCCAUUGUUCGAUAGGAAAGUCGCAAUCAAGAGAGGUACAACUUUUCACUCCGUACGCGAGAGUUAUAGUGGCUGAGCUUGCCCCUCCAUGUGUGUUGACGUACGUCGUUGCAUGAUUGAUAAUACAGCAUGCGUUGCACAACAGGAAUUAAAAAUACAGCAUGUGCAUGCGCAACAGGAAUUAAAAAAUACAGCAUGUGUCGCACUAUAGGAAUAAGAAUAAGAGCCGCACAUAAUUUUAAAAUGAUAUAUGUACAUUAACAAAUAUUAUUAUUGUUUACAAUAGCUCUUUUUCUUUUUUUUUUCUUUUUUUUUUGAGAGGAAUCUCAUCAAAAAUAGAGAAUUGUCUAGAUAUCUAUCGUUUCCUGAUGUGUCGAUAUGUUGAAGGUGUUUUGGAUUAUAGUGGCGUUGGACCACAACAUACAUGUGAGUAGUUUAGAUAUCAUGUUAUUUUCUGUAGAUAUUUAAGAUUUCGAUAAAUUGAACUACAUGUCUCUAUUUUUUAAAAAAUUUGAUAUAUAUUUAAGACAUGACUCUUUCAAUUAUAUCAUGCUAGUUCUUAUUCUGAAUAAAAAAAAGGGCUAAAUUUUUUCUGAGUAGAUUUUUCUUUUUUCUUUUUCUUUUCUCUCUCUCUCUCUCUCUCUUUUGAGACCUAGUAGUCUUAUAUUUUGUAGCUAAGUUUAUUUUCGAAAUGAAUGAAGCAGAUAGCUUGCUAUCUUUUUCUCAAAAAAAAAAAAAAAAAAAGCUUAAAUUGAAUCAGUCAAACCUAUCCCCUGCUGUGUAUCAGUUACAACCUCAAUUUUAAAUAUGUUGAAAGGCAAAUUGCACUAAUAAUCUCAACAAACUUCUAUUUUUAGUCCUCAAUUUUAAGUUUUCAAUAUUUGGGACUCGUGACUAUCCAUUCUAGUGCUUAGUUAAAAAAAGUAAAAAAUACAAAAAAUUACGAGCAAAUUAAGCUAAAUUGUAGAAAAGCUCCUUACAUAUGUUGGAUUUUACACUUUUUCUUCAAUAUUUAAACUAUCAGCCAAAUCAUUAUAUACUUUACAACCACUCGCACCAAUAUAAAUUAAGAAGCGAAAAAAGUUCUAAUAUCGUGUUAAAGAACUGAAUCUAAUCAAAACAAAGUCACGGUAAAGAUAACUCUCACAUUAGAUGUACUAUUUAAUAUUAUCUAAUAAUAUAACCAAACAAGUACUCUAUAGAUGAGCGUACAUGCUAUCAGAAGCAGUCGAUGAGCUUCCCGUGCCUUCCAAGUCGUUUUGACUGUUGCGACUUGCGAAUCGUCGAUCGACUCCGUUAAACUUGAUCUAGAGUAUUUGAAGUACCUAGAAAAUAAAUUUUAUGAUUUUACGAUAUCAUUUGCCUAGUGAACGAAGGAGCUCAAAAUCAACGGCUGAAAAUAAAAAUCUUACAAAAUAUAAUAAUAUGACAUUAAAAUUUUAAAUCAAAGAUAUUUAUCUUGUUUUAUAUAGUAUAAAGAAUUUUCUAUCAAAAUUUCACGUGAUUUGGAUAUUUCUACACCGUUAAACUUGCAAACGGCUCACUACGGCCAUUGAAAUUUGUUGAUUUUGAGCCCAUUCGAUCACUAGGCAAAUAAUAUCGAAAAAUAAUAAAAUUUAUUUUCUAGGUACUCCAAAUACUCUAGAUCAAGUUUAACGGAGCCGAUCGACGAUUCGAAAGUCGCAAUAUCGAAAACGAGUUGGAAGCACGGAAGGCUCCGUGCUUCCGAUAUCAUAGUAGCCUCACUCCUCUAAUAAUAUAAUUUUGUAUUUUGUAUUUCAAUUAUAUAUACUUUCCAUAUUGACCCUCACAUUACCCCAUAAAUAUUCAAAACAAAUAAAUCUACAAAAAUAUUUUUUUUUGAGAUAUUUUUGUAUCAUAAUGUUGCAUGUGCAUGUGCAUGUGCAUGACUUUUCAAAUUGCCUGGGACAAAAAUAUUAUAUGUUUGGGGACUUUGCGGAUCGGCGCCACGUGGUCGAUUCAAUGGUCACGGAUCUCAGUUGCUUUUUCUCUCUCUCUAAAAACACAGAAUUUUUUUUUUGUCUUUCCAUCCGUGGCCAUCGGAUCGGCCACGUGGCACCAAUUUGCAUAGUCCCAAACACAUGCCCAUAAAAUUUUUGUACAAUUGUCUGGGGGCCAUCCCAAUAAUUUUGCAGCCAACGCAUUCAAUGCGGUGACAACUUAAAUUUAAUUAUUGGAGCAAGAAAAUGUGAAACCCUUAAACUUUAAGCGACUUUGAAAUAGCUCCUCAAUAUGGUUUUUCCCUCAUUGCCAUGUUUUAUAUUAGUUUAGGGUGUGUUUAGUUCUACCUAAAAUUGUUCCAAUUUUUUUUUUUCGGUUGAAAAGUAAAAUCUCAAAACAGAACCAGAAACCAUAAUGUCGAAGCAAACAACAGAACCAGAAACCAUAAUGUCGAAGCAAGCUUAGCAAUUGGAUGCAGCAAACAUCCAUAUUUAUGCAAGUUAAGCAAACAAGAUAGCAAACUGCAGUGUUGCUAAAUCAUUUGCUUCCCACUUAUUAAGAUGAGCACAAUGUCGAAAAAAUAUUAUUAUUAUACUUUCAAAAAUACAAUUAAUUUAUUAUUGAUAAUGUGGUAUAAAUAUGAUACGGUAAAUUUUCUCAUCGUCAUUUGUUUGGACCGAUACGAUGUAAUCGGGAGGGGUACAACUUUCACUCUUACGCAAGAGUUAUUGCUGUUGAUGUGUUGUUUAUUGGGACAAAAGUUUUAUAGGCAUAGUGCUCAAACUAAUUAAUUUGGAGAUUAUGCGGACUGAUGCCACGUGGCCGAUCCGACGGCUACGGAUGGAAAAAAAAAAAAAAAAAAAUUCGUGAUUUUAGAGAGAGAAAAAAAAGCACGGAGAAUCCGUGCCCGUCAGACUGCCACAGGGCGGCCGUAUCCGCAUAGUGCCCAACCAAACUAAUUAAUUGAGCACUACAGCCCAUAAAAUUUUUGUCCGUUUAUGGAAUUAUUUUUUCAGGAGAAGAAUGACGCUAAUCUGCUACCAUAAUAAAGAGGGUGAAUUAAUAGCUACAAGGAUGAGGACAGCAACGUGUCACAGAAAGAGAGACAGAAAAAAAAACAACGAAAAAAAACAUAGGAAGGUAGUUUCGAUUACAAGACCCAAAGAAUGUUCCAAGAGUUUUAUUGGAAUGAUACGCGAAUCAUGUUUGCACAACGGGAGGAGGAGCAAAUAAGAGAGCAAGCAUAAAAAUUACAACGCGAUUCACGCUCUCUUAAAAUAUUAUAAAUAUUUACAAAAUACCUUUUAAGCGAAAAUAGUCCCAUCAAAACAUAUGUUGAGAGUUACAAAUAAGGACGUGUUUUGGUUCGCUUUUUUUUCGCGCCUGGAAUCAAACUUCGAAAUCGGAAUGGGUAAAUCACAUUUGUGGGUGUUGGUACGGCGGAGUGCCAUCCAAUUCCCGAUGCCCGAGUGGACAUGGAAUCCCCCAAUCACUCUCUUUUCAUUCCGCGGCUUAGGAGGCCGAAUUGAAAUUGAAUCCGACGGAAUGAUAUUUAAUUCGGAUUAAAUUUAUUUUUAAUUGUUUUUAAUUAAACAUAGAGUUAAAAUCAAAAUUAAAAAUAUAGUAAUUUUUAAAUUUAAUUUAAAACCUAAAUUAAAAUUAAAAUGUAAAUCAAAGUAUUUCGAAUACUAAACUUAAUGAAUUGAAUUUAAAAAUUAAAUUUUAAAAUUUAUAUAAAGUUUUAUUCAAAUUUAUUGCAACCCUAAAUUAAAUUUAUGAUUCAAAUUAAAAAUUUAAAUUUGUAAAUUUUAAGUUGAAUUUGAAUAAAUCUAAAUUUAUUUCAUAUUUUUAAUUCAUCACACUCACUUAAAGUUUAUUUUUUUAAAAAAAAUAGAUUUUAAAUUUGACAUUAUUCAAAUUUUGAUAUAAAUUUUAAUAUUUAAUUUUAAUUUGAAUUUAAAUUAUAUAUGAAAAGAUAAUGUUAGUAUAGUUAAUUGAUUACUUUUUAUAUCCACCUGAACCAAACACUGAAUAAGGAAUGAUUUAUGCGAUUCCGAUUCAAGGUAUUAAACCAAAUCAGGGAAUAGUAAGAGCAAUUAACAAUUCCGAUUCCAGCUUUUGGAUUCCGAUUACGCGAUUGCCGACUCCGAUUUUCGAACGACAAACACUGCCCUAUUACCAUUGACUUUUACCAUUGACUAUUAUAUAUCUAUUAAUAGUCGGCUUAAAUUUUUAUAGUGAUAUCAAUAAAAAGGGGGGCGACGAUAUUGCCCAGGCCAUUCAUUGAAGAGGACAUGACCCUACAUAUUUUUGAAAUGCCCUCUAAAUAUUUUAUGCAAUACAUUUAUAUCAUCAUGCAUCACAAUGAAUAAUUAAAAAUAAAAAUAAAAAUAAAAAUUAGAAUUAAAACUAAAAUUAAACUUUUAAUGUAAAUAAAAGUGCAAUCAAAUUUAAAUCUAAAUUUAAAUUGAAAUAAAUAAAACUAAUUCAACAUCUAAUUUGACAAGUAACAUUAGUGAAUUCUUAAUUGGAUUCAAUUGAAUUUUCAAAUUCGAAUUACAUUUGAGUGCAGCUAAGAUCAAAGUUUAAAUGAAAAUUGACCAAAUAAUGUAAGCUGAAAUGCAGCUAUUGCGUUACAAGUGCCUGGUAAUGCUUGAUAAGGAUAGUAAAGCGCGCUUCGACAGGUCACCCGUUGUUAGAUAUUAUGAAACGUAGCCUUGUCCACCCAACCGCCUGCACCCAUAGUCCGUAGUUUAAUAAUACAACAGCACAAUCGAGAACUUCUUUCUCCGAAAGAGAUACUAAUCCCUGCUUUGACUUGUAGAUCUCUUUCACUGUCGCAUAUUGCACUGAAGCCUGCAAAACCUAUGCAGAACAAAGUUUUACGUAGCAUAACUAACUAGAGACAAAGUUAUAUAAUGAUAUACGCAUGAACUAAGGAAACAUUCAAACUAACAUAAUUAACGUUAUUUGCAAGUACAGAGCGCUUUUAACUUGUUUAAGAUUUUGAGUGUUAUAAAAUUGUCACCUAAAAGAUAUUGGCGGUUUGAACUCUCAUACACGACAUGUUUCAAAAUUUAGAAAAUUAACUAGUAGAGGAAAAAGUACAGACUAGAGGAUCACAUUUCGGAAAUUCUGAAGAUGAUUUUUCGGCCAAUCCAGAUUCGCAGCACACAUUAGAACAAAAUAAUGAUUUGAACACUCUAACAAGAUAUAGCAGUGUUGCGCACUUUAAUAUGCACAAACAUAACUAUACGAAGUAUGUUGUAUACAUUAAAUUUACUAUGUCCAAAUAAUAGGUUAAAGAUGGAAUACGAAUGAGAUUGAUUUCUUUUUUUUCCGCUACAACUCAGUUAGGUUUUGUUCUUUUACAGUGGCGUCCGACCGCAAACAUACAUCAUACCGAUUAUAUACUCAGAUCCAAUUUUAUUCGAACCAGAUAAUAUAGAAUUUGUAAUGCACUAUAGUCCUAAAACCUUAAUUAGUUAGGCUAAAUAAGAAAAAUCCUCUUGUUAACCAUCUGUUUUCACUUCCUCCAUGCUGCAUUUAAAAAUCUAUAACCUUGCGCCCCCCUAAAAAUAAAAAAUAUUCAUAUUCGGUUCCUGCCGUCAGUUUCUAGUUGAGGUUCCAUUUCAUAUCUUAUUUUUGUAAUUCAAAAUAUUUCUGAAUUCUCAUCUACUAUCCACACACCAUGACCGCCUCGCUCUGCCCACUCCCCUUCAUAGCGUAGAUGCAUCCACGCCUGCUCUCUGCCGCCUGGAAUGACAAGAUUGGGGAACAGAAAUAAAGAAAAGUAGGAACAUUUGUUCAUCUUUAUCACACCAAUAUCAUUCUAUAAAUACGUUUUUAUUUUUCGAUAAAAAAAGCAAAGUAUCAUGAUUUUUUUUUAAAAAAAACAAGAAAAACGGCUUUGCUAAAGGUUUCAUAUAAUAGCCAUUUAAUUAAUGCGAGCAACAUUCGCAAACUGAAAAAUGCUAGAAUGCACGGUUAUAAUUAGUGACCGUACGCGGCAUAACAAACCAAUUACAUUAAUCCUUUUAAAAAUAUAUGUCCGCAUCAUGAAUGUAAAGAGUAUUUAUUGUACUUUAUUUUGAAAAGAUGAUAUGAUUGGCUUUUAUGAGACGUGGUGCAAAUGUGACAGUGAGAUUCCUCUUCCAAACAUAAGGCACGCCCUCAGCUCAAACAUUCCAAACUAGGUCCAAACGUUCUUCUUUUUUUAAAAAAAAGUUGAGUUUUGUUUUUAUUUUUUUGAUAAUUAGAUUAAAAUAUUAUAAGAUUUUUAUCAGAUUUUCCUGUGAUCCAUCAAAUUUAAACAGUUGACCAUUCUGCAUUGAACUUAAUAAUUACUAAAAUUCAAGAUAUAUUUAUCAAAUAUAUCAAAUAAAAAUUCAUAUAUUUACAUAGGCGAAGGUACGUAGGACGUAAUGCAUCCCAAAUGGAUUAACCAAGUUCAUCGCAUCGAAACCAAAACGCAUACUUAACAAAAAACGCGUCUUUUAUUUAGUAACUGCCAAAGAUGAAGAACCAUUUCGGUCAGAGAACACCUAAUAUUUUUAAGUAAGAUUCAAAAAACCUCCAUGUGAAUUCGUAGUUUCUCACUGUUGCCUCCCUGUGUUUAAAAUGUAUCAAUUGCUCCCCCGUGUUCUUUUUCUCUUUUUUAUCAUUGCAUUUAUUUUUUAUCUUAAUCAGUCUAAAGUUAAAAUAAAAGUAUAAAAUAAAUAUUUGAUAACUCUAGAUGGAUAUCUGAAGUUUUGUAUAUAAUUUGAUGAAAUAUUAAGAAAAACUACCAAAAAAUAAAAAUGAAACCACAGGGGGCAAUAUUGAUACAUUUUACACCACAGGGAGGUAAGUGAAAAACUACGAAACCAUAGAAGGGAGUUUUUGAAGUUUUUCUUUUAAAAAAAAAAAAUUAUUUAAAUAGACUAAUUUUUUUAAAAAAAUAUUAUUUAUUUAUGUAAUUCAAUGACUAUAAUUGUAAUAGAAUAAAUUUUCUCAUUUAUUGAAUAUUUUUUUAAAAAAAAUUUUUUUUUAUUGUAAAUUUUUGAUCCGUCUGCUGAUCUCCAUCUAUUAUGGUCAGAAUUGAGAGAAAGCUAGAUACACAAGCCAUUGCAUAAGUUACAGAUAUGGUGUGGCUCAGUCGAGUAGGUUAACGGCAAACCCUUAUUUCCACCCAUAGUUGGCCGCACAUACACAAGUUGCAUUGCAUAAAGAGACCAUGUGAUCCAUUUAUAGUACUAACCAAGGCACACUAGUCCACAUAAAUGAAGGACACAUCAUUAUAGAUUUCAAACUUAACAUACUGAUAGAGACACACCGGAAACAAAACAGAAACCCACAAUGUCGAAACAAGCUAGCACUUGAUGCACGCAAAAUCCUUAUUUAUGUAAGAAACGCAAAUAAGUAGGCAAACUAGCAGGUCGAAAAAAUCAUUUGCUGUUCCGACUUAUUACGUAGCUUCAAUUUCAGAAACCCAUCUUAAUAACUUCGGCAUUAGCCCUGAUUGGAAGUAGGAAUAGAGGAGACAUGCGAUUCCACAUACUCCAGAAGACGAUACACAACUCUGCCCAUAACGACGUAUCCACUUCUCCCCCCAUGACUGCCCCCACGAGUCCUUACUAUCUAAUAUUUUUAGUUCCACGGCUAUCAUGCCCGUACCUAUAAUGGUAAUGGCAUGAUUAGAGACUAGUUCACACAGGUCCGGCGCUAAACACAACCCCAUUGUAAAUUGAAAGUUUCACUGGCAUCGAUAAGAGCACUAUGUUGAUUCGACACAGCGCGUACAUAUGCUGCGUCAAUCGUUCCUUCGCACAUAUGAAUAACCAGUAAUGUAAGCUGAAUUAGAACAGCUAUUGGCGUUUGGCAAGUGCCAUUGAGCUAUGCUUGAUAAGGAUAGUUUUUCGUGGUCACACCGUUGUUUAUGAUAUGAUGAAAUCGAGGCCUUGUUCACGAAACCUAGCCGCCUUUGCAACCGCUACUACAGCACAUCGAGGAACUUCUUGCUUCCGAUAAAGAUACUAAGUUACCCCUGUUUUAUCUGUAGAUUCCCUCACCGUCGCAAUUGCACGAAUGACCAGCAAGAACCUAUGCCAAACAAAAGAUACGCGUUAGCAUAACGACGAAGCAAAGUUAUAUCUGAGAUGCAAUGAUAUAACGAAUAUCCUCACAACUCAACAAUAAUAUAAAUGUUUUUGGCAAUACAGACUGCUUUUAACUUUAUUUCAAACGGUUUGUCAAGGCAUAUGGAGUCCUGUUCUUUUUGACUACAACGACUUUGGCUUACUUUAUAUAACUGAUUAUGGCAUAACUCAAUUAAUAGUAAGAGAACUCAGCAAAUAGAGCUAAUUGCAAAUAGAUUGAAUCAAGUCGAAGCCUGUGAACAUUGUCCUUGAAUCCUUAAAUGCGAUGGAUGUGUCCUUUUUAUCACCAUGUAUGUAUUUUUGGAUAGUUAAUUAACACUUAUAUAUACAUUUGAUGGCUAAGUUGAUUUUUUAUUAACUAGAUUCAAUACUUCAUUUCUUUGUACAUUGAUAAUGUGUGAUUAUACAUGUUUAGACACUUUUAAUCAGCCAAAGUAAUGGAAUUAUUGAGUUUUAGUGGGCGGAAAUUUGGUCCUUUUGUCCAGAAAAGGCAGAAGGCAUUCGGUAGCAAGCAUAUUUGAUCUAAGCAACAUGUUAGCAGCAUCUUAUAAAGUUAACUAAGAAUAAUUUUUUUUUCUUUUUUCUAGUUGAAGAAAUGAAGUUGCAUUGACAAUUUAUAGUCUAAAUUAUUUCUUACCACAGGGGUUUUGAUUCUUGACCUCGUUUACGGCACCAUAGUCUCUCCAAUCAAUACUUUGAGGCACCGCGGAGAUGUUUACGUCAUCAAAUGACACCACUGGCUCUCUCUCGAUAUUUAGUGGGAGAGAUACGCCGGUAUAUUGAGCAACAAAUUCGCUUUUUGUCAUAUCGGUAAACUGAUUGAUACCGAGAGUGUACGAAUUUCCGUUGCGACUGUUAAAGGUUUCGAUAUGCUUCACGUUGUUCUUGAAUAUCUGAAACCGGCGCAUCUUCUCGUCGUUGUCCUUGUAAACUCGGCCAUACUCCGCCAUCCAUUCUUCAAACCGCUUCAUCAUGGGAUCACUGGGUUCGUCACGAGAAGCUGCCGAUGGCGAAGCCCACAUCACACAGAGAAACAUGAAAAGAAACACGAGUUGAACUUUGGAAGCCAUGCUUAUGUAGCACUAAAUAUGUAUGAGGAAAUUGGAGAUGGAGCUACAAGAGCUUUUGGUGCUGAGAGUAUGGUGUCAAGAUCGAGUUUAUAUAGAAGUUCAUGCCUUGGAAUGUAGGUGCGAGAAUUAUUGUGUGGGGGCCUACAAGAUGUCACAAAUCGCCAUCAAAUUAAGAUUAAAUAGUUCUGGACCGCUUGCGGCACCACGUCAUGUGGUCACUAGUGUAGUGAUUUGCUUAUUACGUCGGGCAAAUACUAUUGACAUAAAAAUUGGUACAAAAUAAAAUAUCAGUUUAGUAUGAAAAAAUAGUAAAUAUAGUUUAUAUUAUAAACAAACACUUCUAAACAAAAUAAAACUAAAAUGAAAAAAAAUUAAUCAUUCCAAUAAAAUUAUUCAAGCUUGUUAAAAAAAAUCGCAUAUCAUACAAAUGGAUGAUUAAAAUUAUUUUUAACUUGGGAUGUCUCCACCAGAUGGAUGCGAGGCAGAGACUCAUUGUCAGGAGCAGCAAGAGCACUUUUCGACUUAUGCUUUGUUGGAGCUUGUUGGGAACUUUGGAAGGAACGGAAUUCACGGAUCUUUUAGCAACCAACACUCGACGUACGACGAACUAGGAAGGAUUGUUGUUUCCAUCGUAAAGUUCUGGGAAUCUAUUUUGGGGUCCUAAUUGUGAAUCGUUUUGUUUGUUUUACCCUGUUAAUUAGUGGUCCUGUUCUGUUAAUUAGUGGUCCUGUUGUGCUUUCUGAAGUUAGCUCAAGGGGCCUUCUUAGGGAAAGCCAAGCUAGCUCUGCUAUCUUAAGAUGUAUUCUCUGUUUCAAAUAUAGUAUAUUCCUGUUUAAUCAAAAAAAAAAUAUUUUUAUAAUACAAUAAUCAGAUAAAAUAUCAUAUAACAGUUGAUAUGACUAAAAAAAACUCACAAUAACUGACCGUUCCUAGAGCAAGUGGCAAAGGGCUUGGUGAUUGGUACCCGAGGUCCCAAGUUCGAAUCCUAGUUGAUUCACAUUUCCAGCUAAGUUUAUUUCUAAAUGAAAUAAACGAAGCGGGUAGCAUGCUACCUAUCUAAAAAAAAAAAAAAAAAAAAAACUCACAAUUAUACGCAAGACAAAUACUAUAUAUAUAAACAUAUGUAAUUCGGUCUAUCGACAGACUAUUUUUUAGCGGAAAAAAAAAUGAUUCACUUCUUACUAAAAUAAAUAAUGUAAUGAAAAAAACUUUUAAUACUUUUUAUCAUCUAAAAUAGAAAAAAAUAUACUUAUUCAAAAUUUUGUCAACCGAAAGAUAUUACUAUAAAUCUAUAUUUUAAUUCAAAAUUAUUUAAUAUUUUUUUAUCUCUAAAAAUAAAAAAAUUCAUACUAUUCAAAUUUUUGCUACAAUAUCUAAUGUAAAUCUAUAUUUCAAUUCAAAAUUUAAAAUUAAUUUAAAAUUUAAAUUUAAAAUUUGAGAACUAUCAACAUAUUAAAAUAAUUUUAAAUAUUUUUUUUUCCAUAUUAUAGUGAACGAUUAUACUUAAUUACCAUUAGAAAAUAAAGAAGUUACCUUAAUUUAUAUGAUUUUACUCCAACCACUUUCAUCUACUAGCAUGCUCCAGUUCCCAAAUGUGUCUAAAUUAGAAGACAAUCCAAAUAUGAAAGCGACGAUUAGAAGUUGACAACUAAAGUUAAUUUAAUCGUUAAACUUCAAUUUACUCUCCGCUGAUUUUAGCUUAUUUUUUUAAAAUUUGAUUUUUACUGUAGUUCAAAAUUGCCUUAAUUAUCAUAUAAUUUUAUUUUUAUUUUACCGAUAGAAUUUGACAUAAGUUAGCAAAGUAAAUUUUUUUUAAAAAAAAUCAUAAAGUGAUAUCUGCUUACCAAUAAAUUCUUACAAUAAAAUAAAAAUAAUAUUAGUAAAAUAGUUAAGUAUGUAUAACUUUUCAAACCACGUAAAAAGUGAAUUAAAAAAUAUUAAACAACAGUAAAAAAAUUAAAAUUACUCGAUCCCAAUUCAUUCAUUUUCUUCAUCCAAAGAUUCUACAAUCUCAUUCUCUCAACGACAUUCGAGUGCAAAUUAAACAUAUACAUGUUACACCAAAAGUCAAAUCAGGCAUUAUAAUUUUUUUAAUAUAUAAAUUUUUAAAACUUUAUAAAAUUAUAUCAAAUAAAUUAAAUUUUAAUUUCAAAUUUUUUAGAGGAAAAGAUAAUUAGUUACACAUUUUGUUCAUUUUGAGAUUUUUUUUUUCCCCAAGUAAAACCUAAUAAGUGAUGUAGUGCCGGCAUGCAUAUGCUGAUCCUUGAAAAUUUUUAAGUAUCGUUUGGUUUGGAAAUAAGCAAAAAGUGGUUAUUCCAGGAAUAGGUAUAAAUUGAGGUAUAAGUAGGGGUUAUAUCAAUUUUGAGUUUGGAUGAAAAUUAGAUUUUUUUUUUUUUAGAAUAAAAAAAAAGUAUUUGGUUAGGUAAGAUGUAAUAAAAAUUUAAAUGGAUAGUUAUAAAUAAAAAAUAAUGAUGUUAUCAUUUUCUUUAUAUUAAAAUUUGAAAUUUGAAAUUUUAUAUUUAUAUUUUAGAAUAAAUAUAAACUUUUAAAUUUUAAAAUUUCAAAAUCUCAAAUUUACAAUUUUAAAAAUUUAAAAUUUAAAUUUUAAACUUUAAAAUUAAAAUGAAAUUUUAAUUUAAAAAUACAAAAUAUCAAAUUCUAAAUAUAAAAAAUUUAAAAUAUCAAAUUUUAAAAGUUAAAAUUAAACAUGAAUUUUUUUGUGUUUGGGGGAGCACGACGAGGGGGGACAGAGGAGCGAAGCGGAGGGGCGGGGGGUGAGGUGGUGGGUGUAUCUGCGUGUGUUGUGUUUUUAUAUAUGUAGGUGUAUUUUUUUGAUUUGGUUUAUUUAAAUUGUUGCAAUUAUUUUUUAAGUUACGCCUAUGGAUAACAAUACUGCGCCAAUUUAAAAAAAUUCUUUAAUUUGAUGGUCUGGCAGUAUGUCACAUUCUCGAUUGUUCGUAGCGUGUGCUUAUCAAUAUAACGACUACAUUUUAAGGACUAUCGUCUUAGGGUAUAACGGUGAGAAUAUCUCACAACUCAACGAGNNNNNNNNNNNNNNNNNNNNNNNNNCAGACUUUAUCAAAUUUAAUUUUAAUUUAAAAAUUUUAAACUAUUUAUGUGAUGUAUGCGGAUGAUGAAAAUAUUGAUAAAUAUCUAGAGGCAUUUUCAAGAAUUUGAAUAUCAACUAUAUAAAAUUUAUGAGACUCAAGUGAUAUAUAACAGGCAAUGGUAGAAUAAGUAUUUUGUAACUAUCACGAUUAUUUUGGAUUGAGACUAAUCGUUUAACGUGAGCCUUAAUUGACGGUAUAAAUAAUUUAUGAGAUUUUUCUUAUCACUCCUCCUCCUCCGUAUGCGCAACACGUGCUCCGGUAAUAAUUCCAAUACACAACACAUCCUGCAGUAACUCUUGUUACGGAGUGAAGGUUUGUCCGCCCCCUCAUUCUGAUUGCAUCUGUCAACGAAAAGGACGAACAAAUGCUUUCUAAUAAUAUAGGUACCUGCCGUUAUCUGUCCUAAAUAAAGGUUUUAUAGCUUUGCUUGCGAAAAUGUUUACUAUAUCAUACUUACAUCGCAUCACAAUAAUAAAUAUAUUAUAUAAUUUUUAAUAUAUAAUAAAAUUUUUUUAUAUUAUUAUAAUAAAUAAAUUUAAAAAAUUCUUAAUUUGAUUGUGGAGAUGUCACUUAUCAAUAUAACGGAUACAUUUAAGACUAUGUUCGGUUAGGGGAUAAGGUGGAAUUUAUUCACCCUCAUCCCCAAACACAAAAAAAUUCUUUUAAUUUUACUUUAAAAUUUGAUAUUUUAAUUUUUAUAUUUAGAAUUUGAUAUUUGUAUUUUAAUUAAAAUUUCAUUUUAAUUUUAAAGUUUAAAAAUUUAAAUUUUAAAUUUUAAAUUGUAAAUUUGAGAUUUUGAAAUUUUAAAAUUUAAAAGUUUAUAUUUAUUCUAAAUAUAAAUAUAAAAUUCAAAUUUCAAUUUAAUAUAAAGAAAAUGAUAACAUCAUUAUUUUAUUAUACUAUACCAUUUAAUUUUAUUACAUCAUACUAACCAAUACUUUUUUUUUAUUCUAAAAAAAAAAAAAUCUAAUUUUUCAUGCAAACCAAAAUAUGAUAUACCCCUUACUUAUACCUCAAUUAUAGCUAUUCUCUGGAAUAACAUUUUGAUUAUUUCCAAAGCAAACGAUACUAAAAAUUUUCAAGAUCAGCAUAAUGCAUGCCGCACUACACUUAUUAGUUUACUUUGGGGAAAAAAAAAAUCUCAAAAUGAACAAAAAUUUAACUAAUUAUUUUCCUAAAAAUUAUGAAAUUAAAAUUUAAUUUUAUUUGAUAUAAUUUAUACCAGUUUAAAAAUUAUAUAUUUAAAAAAUUAUAAUGCCUGAUUUGACUUUGGUGUAACAUGUAUAGUUGUAUAAUUUGCACUCGAAAUGUCGUUGAGAGAAUGAGAUGUAAAUCUUUGGAUAAGAAAAGAAAUGAUUGGAUCGGUUAAUUUAAUUUUUACUGUUGUUUAAUAUUUUUAAAUUCAUUUUACGUGUUGAAAAGAUAUACAACUUAACAUAUUACUAAUAUUAUUUUUAUUUUUAUGUAGGAAUUAUUGUUAAGCAUGCUACACUUAUGAUUUUUUUUAAAAAAAUUACUUUCUAACUUAUGUAAUUCUAUGGGUAAAAUAAAAAUAAAAAUUAUAUAAUUAAGUGCAAACUUUCGAACUGCAGAAAAAACAAGGAACAAUCUACUAAAUCAGGGAGAGUAAAUUGAAGUUAACGAUAAAUAACUUUAGUUGCUAACUUCUAACUCGGCUUUCAUAUUUUUGGAUUUGUCUUCUAAUUUAGACACAUUGGGGAACUGCGAGCAAUGCUAGUAGAUGAAAGUGGUUGGAGUAAAAUCAUAUAAAUUAAGGUACAACUUCUUUAUUCUAAUGGAUAUAAGUAUCGUUCACUAAUAUGGAAAAAAAAUAAUUUUAAAUAUUUUAAUAUGUUGAUAGUCCAAAAUUUAAAUUUAAUGUUAAUUUUAAAGUUUUGAAUGGAAAAUAUAGAUUUACAUUAGAUAUUGUAAAAAACAUUUGAAUAAGUAUGAAUUUUUUUAUUUUAUAGAUAAAAAAUAUAAUAUUUGAUUAAAAAUAGAUAUUAUAGUCAAUAUCAAUUCGGUUGACAAAAUUUGAGAUAAGUAUAUUUUUUCUAUUAAGAUAAAAAGAUAUAUAAAAGUUUGUUUCAUUUACAUUAUUCAUUUACGUAAGGAAGUAAAUCAUUUUUUUUCCUGUAAAAAAUACGGUCUGUGAUAAAUUAGAAAUAUGUUGUAUCUUGCGUAUAUAUAAUGUAGUUUUUUUUUUUUUUUUUUGAUAGGUAAGCAUGCUACCAUCGCUCGUUAUUCAUUAGAAAUAAACUUAGCGGAAAUGUGAAUCAACUAGUCGAACUUGGGACCUCGGUACAAUCAUCCCAAGCCCUUUGCCACUUGCUCUAGGAACGGUCAUUAUUGUGAGUUUCUUUUAGUCAUAUCAACUGUUAUAUACUAUAUUUUAUCUGAUUAUUGUAUUAUAAAAAUAUUUUUUUUUGAUUAAAACAGGAAUAUAUAUAUUUGAAACAGAGAUACAUCUUAAGAUAGCAGAGCUAGCCUUGCUUCCCUAAGAAGUCCCUUGGACUAACUUCAAGACAACAUGACCACUAAUUUAUAUUAAUCGAACAGGACCACAUUAACAGGGUAAAACAAACAAAAACGAUUCACAAAUUAGGACCCAAAAUAGAAUUCCCAGAACUUAGAUGAAACAAACAAUCUUCCUGAUUCGUCGUAGCGAUGUUGUUUCUAAAGAUCUUAUUCCGUCUCAAAGUUCCCAAACAAGCUCCAACAAGAGCAUAAGUCGAAAAGUCGCAUCUUCUGCCCUGACAAUGAGUUCUCUGCUCGAUCCAUCUUGUGGUAGACAUACUCAGUUAAAUAAUUUUAAAUCAUCCAUUUGUGAAUCGAAGCGAUUUUAAUCAAUUUAAAUUUUAUUGGACAUAUAUUUUUUUCAUUUGUUUUAUUUGUUUAGUAAGGUUUGUUUAUAAAUUAAAUAUAUUACUAUUUUUUCAUACUAAAAACUGAUAUUUAUUUUUACAAUUUUUAAUGUCAAUAUAAUUGCCCGACGUAAUAAAGCAAAUCACUACACUAGUGACCACAUGCGUCGGGUGCCGCAAGCGGUCCAAACUGAUUUAACUAAGUUUUGAUGCGAUUGGUGACAUCUUGGUAGCCCCACACAAUAAUUCUCGCACCUACUUCCAAGGCCAUGAUACUUCUAUAGUAAACUCGAUCUGACACAUACUCUCAGCACCAAAAGUCUUGUAGCUCCAUCUCAAUGUUCACCAAUACAUAUUAGUUGCUACAUAAGCAUUGGCUCUCCAAAGUUCAACUCGUUGUUCUUUUCAUGUUUCUCUGUGUGAUUGGGCUUCGCCAUUUUCGUCAGCUCUCGGACUGAACCCUAGUUGUAUUCUCCAUAUGAUUGUAACGGUUAUAAUUUGAGAUAUGGAUGGCGAGUAUUGGCGAGUUUACAAGGACAACGACGAGAAGAUUGCUCGCGUUUCAGAUAUUUCAGUAACAAGCGUGGAAGCAUUAUCGAAACCUUUACACAAGUUCGCAACAGGAAUUCGGUACACUCUCGGUUCAAUCAGUUUACCGAUAUGACAAUAAAGCGAACUUUGUUGCUCAAAUAUUAACUGGCUAUCUCUCCCACUAAAUAUGAGAGGAGAGCUAGUUGUGUCAUUUGAUGGACGUAACACAUCUCCGCGGGUGCCUCAAAGUAAUUUGAUUGAGAGAGACUAUUGGUGCCUAAACGAGGUCAAGAAUCAAAACCCCUGCUGGUAAGAAAUAAUUUAGACUAAUAAUUUCUGCAACUUCAUUUCUUAACAGAAAAAAGAAAAAAAAUUAUUCUUAGUAACUGUUAUAAGAUCUGCUAACAUGUUGCUUAGUUUUUUAUUCUUCCCGAAUGGCCCCUUCUGCUUUCUGGACAAAAGGACCAAAUCCGCCCACUAAUUUUCUGCUGAUAAAAGUUCUAAACAGUAUAAUCAUUUUUAUUUCAAUGUACAAAGAAAUGAAGUAUUGAAUCUAGUUAAUAAAAAUCAUCUUAAGCCAUCAAAUGUUAUAUAAGGUAAUUCACUAUCCAAAAAAUACAUUUUGGUGAUACAAAAGGACACUUUUUAUCCAUCGCUUUUAAGUGAUUCAAGACAUAUGUCCUACUUCGACUUGAUCAAUCUAUUUGCAAAUUAGCUUAUGCUGUGUUUUUUACUAUUAAUUAAAGUUAUCAUUUAAUCAUACCUACUAAAGUAAGCAAAGUACGUGUUAGUUCAAAAAACAGGACAUCAAUGCUGAAACCGUUUGAAAACAUUUUUUAUAUCAAGCAGCUCUGUACUAAAUUUUAAUUAUGUUAGUUAUUUUAUAUUCAUAGCAACUCAGAUAUAACUUUGCUACUUUUUUUACGCGUAUCUUUGUUUUAGGCAUAGGUUCUGCUGGGUCAUCGCUGCAAUUGCGACGGUCGCGAUUGGGAUAUUCUACAAGAAAAACAGGUAUUAGUAUCUUUAUCGGAGCAAGAAGUCUCGAUUGUGCUGUUUUUAUUUUGGCGUGUGGUAUACUAUGCUUAGCUGUGUAUUCAUAGUUCUGAAUCAUCUUUCACAGAUCUGAAUUUAAAUUUUAAAUUUGAAUUCAAAUUUUGAACUUAAAAUUGUAAGUCAAUUUUAAAUCUAAAUUAAAUUUGAAAUUCAAAUUCAAAUUUAUAUUUUGAAUUUGAAUUUCAAAAUAAAACUUUGAAAUUAAAUAUAAAACUAAUUAAAAAUCUAAAUUCACUACAUGCAAGAUAAUUAAAUUAUGGGGACAUAUGUUUGGAAUAUUUUUAUAUAAGUGCCCUAUUUAUGUCAAAACUUUAAAAAUAAUCUAUUAAUGCCUAAAUAUAAAGCCCAAUCCAUUCUCCGGUAAACUAAGAUUAUCGGACCAAUUUUCAUAUUGUAAUGAAUCGAUUGUAACCUAAUUCUUAUAGUCCAUUAAAAAAUAAAAAAGUGAAUAUUUAAAUGAUUUUACAGUAGUUCUUAAGUUAGAAGACGACCCAAAAUAUGCAAUGGCGGAGUUCGGAGCUGGUAACUAAAGUUAAUUUAAUAUGUUAACUUCAAUUUACCCCGUGAUUAAGUAGAUUUUUUCCCUUUUUCCUCCGAUGCUUCAAAAAUUCGCCGACAGAACCCAACGUCAGUUACCAAAGUGAAUUUUUUUAAAAAACUUAUAGCAUACUAUGCUCUUUAACAAUAAAUUCUUACAAUAAAAUAAAAAUAAAAUUAUAGAAUACUGAAGUAUAACUCUUUAAGCCAUUGAAUGACAAAAAAAAUAUAUAUAUAUAUAUAUUAAACCACAAUGAGAAAAAUUGAAAAUUAUCCUACUUUUUAGUUCAUCAUACUAACUCCAUACCUACAAGCUCAUGUAUUACACCAAAAAUCAAACCAUCAUGUAUUAUAUAUUUUUUUAAUAUAAAAAUCUUUUAAACUCUAUAAAAUUAUAUUACAUUAAAUUAAAUUUUAAUUUAAAAUUUUUGGGAGGAAAAGAUGCAGUUUUCAGUUUCGUUCAUUUUACGAUUUUCUUCUCUUUUUUUCCUUUUUGAAGUAAAACGUAGAGACUUGGUGUAUCCUAAUGUUCAUGCGAUGAAAUCAUUAAUUUCUCUCUUGUCCAUUAAUUUUUUGAGAGAAAGGUACCUGCUUUAUUCAUUAAAGAAAAAAUUAAACUACACGAUUAAGAUAAAGGAAUCUCCGAAGUAGACCGAAAAAAUGAAAAAAAAAAUAAUUAAAUUUACAAAAACAUAUAACAAAAAAAAAUUUAAAAAAAAGGAUAUGCUCGUUUAAACACUCUAUUCUUCUCCCACUGAAGCAUCAAACAUCUGAUCGAUUUGACAGCUAGUAAAGAAUUAGUAUUAGCCAAUCUAUAAAUAACGGUGUUUCUUACUGUUCAGAUAACUCACCAAUUUUUUUUUUUGAAAAAGAUAACUCACCAAUUGACUGUGAGUUUUGUAAAUCUGUUUCUAACAUUCUGAGCACUAUCCCUUCCCAUGCUUCCACUUAUCCCAUACUAACCUCUCUUGUCCUUUGCUGGAUCGGAAAGUUGCAAUCAAGUUUGUCCGUUUCUCUCCCUGUUGGAGAGCAGUCAGAUUUUUUUUUUUUGGUGCACCCGGUGCACUAGUUUUGUUUUAAAAUUUUAUUUUUUGUUUUUUAAUUAUAAUUUAAUAAUAUAUCUCAUGAUUUUAAAAAUAUAUGUAAAAUAAUUUAGAAUUUAGGAUUUAAAAUUCUUUUGCAUAUAUUUUUUAAAUAUCAUAAAAUAUAUAUCUGUUAUAUGAAAUUAAAAUUAAGAUUAAAAUUAAAAUUUUAAAGUAAAAAAUGAUGCACCGGUGCACCGAAAAAAACCCGCUGUGUCCCGAGAGGCAGAGCAGUCGGGACGGUGGCCCGCGUGGCUCGGGUGCCAUGCGGCGCCCAUCCAGUGUCCUCAAAAAAAAAGGAGAAUUAAUGGGUGGAGCCCAACAAGUUGGUACAAAUCGCCAUUAAAUUAAGAUUAAAUAGUUCGGGACCGCUUGCGACACCAUGUCAUGUGGUUAUGAGCUAAUCACAAAAAUAUUUAAGUUUCUCUACUUGUCUCAUAUUUAAAUUUUAUAAUUUUUUUUAUAGGACAUACAAUAACGAAAUAGAUCUGGACCCUGUUAAAGAUAAAAAUAUAUAAACAUUAUUCUCUAAAAGUUUAAGCUUUUAGUAUCGUUUGGUUCGAGGAUAAGCAAAAAGUGACUAUUCCAGGGAUAGGUAUAAAUUGAGGUAUAAGCGGGGAUUAGAUCAAUUUUGCGUUUGGAUGAAAAUUGGAUUAUUUCUGAAAAUAAAUAUAAAUAAUAUGUAUUAAUAUAGUACAAUUAAUAAUUUUAUAAUAAAAAUAAUGUAUUAUAAUAUAUAACAUAUUAUAUUUAUAUAAUUAGUUUUAAUUCAAUUUAUAAUUUUAAUUAAAUUUGAAAUUAAGCAUUAGAAUAGUGCUAUUCCACCAAAAUGGUGGAAUAGCAAAUCCCUUGCUAUUCCGGAAUAACCGGAAAUAGCAAGGUUUGACCGGGAUAAAAUAUCCCGGCCAAAUUUCAUCCCAUUUGGCGGAAUAGCGGGGAUAACUUUUGUUAUCCCCGCUUAUCCCCCAACCAAACGGGGCCUUAAGGAAUUCACAUUGUGAUUGUUUGAUUGAUGGAUGGCCAUUACAUUGAAAUUGGUCUAUGCACUCUGUUUGGUUAAAACUAUUUGAGUAGUUCUCAUCAAGAAUCCCUACACAUUUUUUUUAUUAUAUUCAUUUCCUACUUUUAUUCUAUCUCUCCACACACACACACACACACACACACACACACACACCCCCUUCCCACCACCCCCUCCAAAUUUGGCUGAUAUUAAUGAAAAGGAAUUAUAACUAGUUGAGAGGAGAUUUUCGGCACUUUAGAAAAUAAGUGUGUAUGUUUGCUCUACCGUGUUAAUUUACUGAAAUUACUGUCAUUGUACAGGGUUAUGUGUAAUUCCAGUUGUAAGAACCUUUAGAACACAUCAACUUGUGUCAUACGUUGUUACGCCUUUUUGACAAAACGUAGGAAUAUUAUUUGAGUAGAGGUAUUUGAAGAAGUUGCAAGAUGUGUUUGUUUAGAGUAUUGUAGUUCCAUGGAUAGGAAAUAAGGAUAGUUUAUCCACUAUAAGAGGGCAAAGGGAAUUAUCUAGGCUAAUGGUUCCUUAUGAGAGUAGCAUAACUCCAUUCUAGCGUACAGUUUGAUAUCUCCUACUUAGUUCUAGUUGGGAAUUUAUCAAACUCAAAAGUACUUAACAGGAUAGCAGGGAUAUUGCCAUUAUCUUUCCAACUUGCAAAUGCUGAAUGUAAAUAUACUUGGCAUGGAGUUGAACAAAAAAACUUUUAAGUUAGACCAGCUUUUUAGGGAGCUCUUUUAGUCUUCGCACUAUGCUAGGAGCUCUAGAUUUUUUUUCUGUUUGCUAAACGUCUGACUUUUGCUUCUUGAGUAGAAUAACUUUUUUAGAAGUCAAACCAAUUAGGUAGUAUAUACUUUUGCAUAUGCUAACAAAAGUAUGUAUUCGAAAAAUAUUUGCUGAGCUAACCUGUGACAUUAGGAUGCUAGCACAAGUAUCACUGCUGUAUAUGCUGNCUAAUUCCUACUUAAUUACCAUUAGAAAAUAAAGAAGUGUACCUUAAUUUAUAUGAUUUUACUCCAACCACUUUUCAUCUACUAGCAUGCUCCAGUUCCCAAAUGUGUCCUGAAUUAGAAGACAAUCCAAAAUAUGAAGAGCCCGAGUUCGUUUCUUCAAAAAAUUUUCGGAAUUUUUGUAGAUUUAUUUGCGAAUUUUUCGGACAAAAAAAAUGGCUUAAUCUAAUUUAUUCUUUUUAUUUUUUUGGAAAAAUACGUAAACAGCCGAUUAAUUCGUUUCUUCAAAAAUUCGCGAAUUAUUCGCGAAUUUACUAUCUAAGCCUAUCGCUCUCAAAAACAAAAGAAAAAAAAAGAAUUUUUAUCAGAGCAUGUGUUGCACAACGGGCGGAGGAGUGAUAAGAAAAAUCUCAUAAAUUAUUAAUACUGAUAGUUACAAAUAUCUUUAUUAAAUUAUUAUAAAUAUUACAAAUAUCUUUAUUAAAGCGAUUAGUCUCUAUCCAAAAUAAUCGUGAUAGUUACAAAAUACUUAUUUUAUUAUUGCCUAUUAUAUAUCAUUUGUGUCGCUUAAAUAUUCUAUAGCUGAUAUUCAAAAUUUUUCAAAAAUGCCCUCUAGAUAUUUUAUCAAUAAUUUUCAUCAUCACGCAUACAUCACAUAAAUAAUUUAAAUUUUAAAAUUUAAAAUUAAAAGUAAAAAUUUAAAUUUAAAUUUAAAAUUUGAUAAAGAUCUGAAUUCAAAUUUUAAAUUGAAUUCAAAUUUUGAACUUAAAAUUGCAAGUCAAUUUUAAAUAUAAAUUUAAAUUUGAAAUUCAAAUUCAAAUUUAUAUUUUGAAUUUGAAUUUCAAAAUAAAACUUUGAAAUUAAAAAUAAAACUAAUUCAAAAUCUAGAUUGAAAGUAAAAUUAGUAUAAAAUCUUAAUUCGAUUUCAAUUGAAUUUGAAUUAUAUUCGAAUCCAAAAUCAAAAUUUAAAUUUUAAAUUUAUAAUUAAAAUUAGAUUAAAUUAAUAUUACAAUUCAAUAUUAUAAUGUAAAUUUGAGUGAGUCUAAGAUCGCAGUUUAAAUUGAAAAUUGAAUUAAAAAAUUCUAAUUAUAAAUUUUGGAAAUAUUUAGAGAUAAAAUGAUAUUUUAAAAUUUAAGUAGCAUUAAACUAGCUUCCAACUAAGAUUAGGAUAACACUCCGUGACGUGAGUUUACAUAAGAAAUAUUUAUGAUAUAACUCAUUCUAUUGGAAGAGCGUAUAUGAUAUUUUAAUAUUUUUAGAGGUGCCUGUGAUAGUUUAAGAUUUUGAAAAAUAGUUAUGAAACUGUCCCUGCAUUUCAAAAUUUGGAAAACUGAUCUCCCUGACUUGCGGAUUUCAUGUAGUACAAUUUUUUGACGGUGUUCUUAAUGCAAGUAACAAAUUAUAAGCAACUUUAAAGGAAAAAAAGUUACAUAUUUUUAGGGAUCGUAUUUUGGAAAUUUGAGGAUGAGUUUUUAGUUGUCCAGGUUUCACGCUUUGAUAAAUAAUAUGAUCAGAAGAAUCAUAAAUGGCGAUAGCUUACGUUUACCUACUUUUAUUAGAUAUAUAGUUUAAUAUAUUCUUUUUCCGCAUAAAAUUACUAAUUAAAUAAAACCAAUUGAUGCUCAAACUCUCUCUUCCUAUGGAAUAAAAAUAAAACAUAAAAAAGGAUAAAUUACGCUUUUGGUCCUCAAACUAUAAGAUAUAUGACACUUUAGUCUUCAAACUUUAAUGUGUUAUAAUAACUUAUGGCUCAAAGUAUGAGACACGUGACACUUUAGUCCUUAAAUUUUAAUUAGUUGUAAUUUCUGACUUACACUAAAGUUAAUUAAUUUAUUUAUUUCUACGAAAUCGAUCGGUUUUGUUCAAUCAGUAAUUUUAUUCGAUGUUAAACUAUAUAACAAAUUUUAUAAUGUCUAAUUGUUAAAAUUAAAAAUCGACCAAUCAUAUUUUAAAUAUUAAAAAAAUUAUAGAUGCAAAAUUGAUCUUUGAUCGGAUUGUAAUAUAAUAUUAAACUUUUAUAAUAAAAUCGUAUAAAAUUUGUCUAAACUAUAAACCAUUCUGAAUCAUCUAUUCAACCUUUUAAAAUUUUAUUCUUAUUAUCGAACUAUUCGAUACGUUAGAUUUUAAAAUUUAUAUAUAAAAGGUUUAUAUAUUUUAAAUUUUAUAAUAAAAGCCCGCCACGCCUCUCUCCCCCGGCCCCGCCCCAGCGUCUGCGACGUGGCUCAUAAGAGACAAUUGAAAUUAUUUCGGGGACCAUCCGAGUUAUUUUGCAGCCAAGGUUGGACGUGGAUUAAUGCGGCGAUAACUCAAAUUACCAUUACCAUACUAUAAAUCCGAGCAAGAAAUGUAUGGAACCCCCUGAACUAUAUGCCACUAUGAAAUAGCGCCUUCAAUCUACUUUUGUUUUUUCCCAUUUCGUGUUGAGUGAUUUUGGUGACUCACAGUAAUUAUGAUAAUUUUAUCAUAUUUAAUUUAUUUAGUUUACAUACUACGUACAAUUGGCAGUUUGUGCAACAAUUAAUCUAUUCAGCUUAUUUUAUUCAGCUUGUUUUAUUAUACUAUAUAUGUUGAGUAUCACAACGAUGAUCUUCUAGCUUAUUUUCACGAAACUUUGCAUCGGAAUUUAAUAAUCGUUUUAAAUAUUUUUUAACUUCUUAGAUUACGGUGGUAUUAAAGUGCAUUACCAUAUAUUUUUUUUUUGAGAAAAAAAUUUUAUNCAUUCCGUGCGUCUGUGCUAGCAGUUCUUGGCAUGACUCCAUGCCACUCCAUAAAUCCUUGCUUUUGUUGUUUACAAGGCUAAACUUCAAAAUCGGCACUGUGGUAUAGUGCAUUUUCGCGUUGGUGCACUAUGGAUUCUUUUCUAUCACAUAGGUGCCCUGAGUUUGGUAUUGAAAUUAUUCCUCAAGGACCUUUUUUCUAGCCCUGUUGGUAUUUGUGUGUGUUUCCAGUUCAAAUCGUUGUUGGCUCGGUUUUUUUAAGUCUAAACUCAACCGAGAACCCGAAUGCAAGCCCAUCUUAUAAGGGGUUUCUGAUUAAGUUUGAAUCAGAACACGACCUAAGCCCUGACCUAACACGACCCAACCUGUUUAUAUAUAUAUAUAUAUAUAUAUAUAUAUAUAUAUAUAUAUAUAUAUAUAUUCCAGUCAAUCUAUUUCUAGCAUACUGAGCACUAAUCCCUUCCGAUGCAUCCACUUAUCCCAUGCCAACCUUUCUUGUCCUUUGUUGGAUCGGAGAGUUGCAAUCAAGAGUGGGACAACUUUUCACUCCGUCCGCAAGAGUUGUUGUCGCUGCGCUUGCACCUCAUUUAUUGUUGUUGUAUGAUUGAAAUUAUUUAGGGCAUGUGUGGCACAACAUGAAUAAGAAUAAGAGUUUAUGCACAUAAAUUUAUAUAUAUAUAUAUAUAUAUAUAGAGUCCGGCUACUAUACUCUUAUGAGUAUGAUUGUCCUCGUACUUAUAAGUUGUUUUCGAUGAUAGAGCUUCCGAAUCGACGAUCCAUACUGUUAAAUAUUAUUUAGAGCAUUUAAAACGUAUAGAAAUUAAAUUUUAUAAUUUUUCGAUAUCAUUUACCUUACAAUCAAAAGGUCACAAAAUUGACAAUUUUUAACGGCCGGUAUGAAAUAUUUGUUAGUUAAACAGUAUAAAAGAAUCAAAAUAAGUUGAUUUUUUGAUAGAAAAUUCUAUUCAGUAUAUAGAUAAAGAUCAAUAGCUCCGAUCUUAAAUUGAAGGAUCCGAUCAUAAAUUUUUAAGACGUCGUUCGAUUUUGACAAUUCAUUUUAUACCCGCUUGAUGAACUUUAUUAUGAUUUCAAAAAAUUACGAAAUUUAUUUUCUAGAAAUUUUAAUAAACUAUAUUUAACGGAAUGGAUCGUCGAUUUGGAAGCUACAUCAUUGAAAACAACUUAUGAGUAUGUACGAAGUGUUCUAUACUCAUAAGAGUAUAGUAGCCCUAACAUAUAUAUAUAUAUAUAUAUAUAUAUAUAUAUAUAUAUAUAUAUAUAUAUAUAUAUAAAACUAGGCUGGUAUACUAUCGGUAGCACGGAGGCUGAUAUAUAUAUAUAUAAAAUAGAGCUUCUACAUUUUUAAAAGUACCAAGUUAUUGGUACUUAUAUAUUUUUUGCCAUUGAAAUAAGAGAUAUACGGUUAGAAUGAUGUGGGACCAUUAAAAUUGAGUGGUGGUUGGUUCGGAUGAAAAUAAUCAAAUGUAUAGAUCUAAUAGUAAAAAAUUUACAAGUAUCAAGUGUUUGAUACUUUUAAUGUACCAUAUAUGCAGAUUUCUGAGACGGUAAAAAUUUUGCUUUUGUCUAAAUAAAUGAAAGAUGGAAUGGUUAAUUUGAUUUGAAAUUUUGUUUUUCUCCCGUUCAACUCGUUACGUUCUACUGGUUACAUUCUAUAUAUUUGUAGUGGCGUUGAACCACACCGUACAUGUGAGUAAUUAAGAUACAACCUUAUUUUCUAUAGAUAUCUGAGAUUUGGGUAAAUAGCUCUACAUGUCUCUAAACUUAAAUUAGUUUUUAAACUUGUAAAUUUGGUAUAUAUUUAAGACCGGACUGUUUGAAUUAUAUCAUUCUAGUCCUUAUUCUGAAUAAAAAAAAACAAAAAGCGGUAAACUAUAGUAAAACCUUCCAGUACUGCAUGUAUCAGUUAACACCCUCAAUUUAAUUUUAAAUAUGUUGAAUGGGGAAAUUAAUUGCACUACUAAUUAAUUUCCAAACUUCUAUUUUAGUCCUCAAUUUUUAAGUUUCACAAUAUUUGGGACUCAUUGAAUGUUUCAUUCUAGCACUUAGUUAAAAAACUAAAAAAUAAAAAAAUAUAAGAGAGAAAGAGAAAAGCUAAAUUUGUAGAAAACCUCGCCCCUUUCAUAUGUUAGAUUUUAUACUUUAUUUUCUUCAAAUUAUCAGGCCAAAUCAUUCUGUACCGACUAAGAUUUGAUAUUAGAACCACUCACCCAAUCAUAAAAUAAGAAGCGAAAAAAGCUCUAUUAUCGUGUUAAAGAACUAGAAUAUAAUCUAAAAACUCAAACGGAGUGGUAAAAAUAACCUUCACAUUAUGUAUACUAUUUUAUUUUUAUCUAAAAAGAAUCUAAACACAAGUACUCUAAUAAUAUAAUUUUGUAUUUUGUAUUUCAAUUAUAUGCACUUUCUCUAUAUAUUGACCCUCACAUUACCCCAUAGAUAUUCAAAACAAAUAAAUCUACAAAAAUAUUAUUUUUGAGACAUUUUCCUAUCAUAAUGUUGUACUAGUGUAGAGACCCGCGCGAUACAGCGGGUAGAUAAUAGAAUCAAAACUUAAAAAUUUUAAUAAAAUUUAUAUUUAUAGUUUAUUAAAUUCAACUAUUAAAAAAAUAAAAUUAUAGCUUAUAACCCACACAUUGAUAAAAUAUUAAUAUGAUGCAUGUAAUUAAAUGUUGCACUUUACAUGUAAUUAGAGAAGUGGAGAGGUGAAGAGUUGGACGUUGAGAAGAGAAAAUAAUUUGAUUUAAAAUUGGGCUAUGAGAAUAAAGAAUAACAUAUGGCAAAAAAAAAAUUUUUAUGGUACAUGCAAAAGAGUUACAAAAAAGAGGGCUGAGAGAUUAAUGGAGAAGAGAAGUUGAUUAAAGUUAUAAAUCUCACUCGAUGAUAGAAUAUUAAUAUGGUGCAUAUAAUUAAAUCUUGUUACUUACAUGUAAUUAGAGGAGUGGAAAGGUAAAGAAUUGGGCGUUGAGAAAAGGAGAAGAUGAUUUAAUUUAAAGUUGAGUUAUGAAAACGAAAGCUAACAUGCCACGUGGCAAAAAAAAAUACAAAACUGUAACUUCAUAAAGAUUUAUUUAUAGAUUUAUAGAUGUGCACGUGCGUGACUUUUCAAAUUGUGUUGGACCAUCCCAAUUAUUUUGCAAACAACGUAUUCAAUGCGGUGACAACUCAAAUUUAAUUAUUGGAGCAAGAAAAUGUAUGGAAACCCCUAAACUAUAAGCGACUUUGAAAUAGCUCCUUUAAUCUGGUUUAAUUCUAUCGACUGUUUCUAGAGCAAAUGGUCGGUAUCCGAGACUCAAGUUCGAAUUCUAGUUGAUUCACAUUUCUAGCUAAGUUUAUUUCAAAAUGAAAUAAACGAAGCGGGUAACAUGCUAUCUUUCUCUCAAAAAAAAAAAAAAAAAUCUGGUUUAAUUCUCCCUCGCUGCCAUAUUUUAUAUUAGCUUAUGGUGUUGAGUCAAUGCUUUGAGGUGUCGCUAAUAUGUUUGUAUUCUCUCUUAAAUACGUAAUUAAUGCAAGAGAUAAACUACACCCCACUCAAGUUUUUUUUUUCCAUUCUAAUUAGCUGUCAAAGAUUAAUUAAAUAUAUGGACAGUUGAAAGAAACAUUUCUCUGCUUUUCUAUUUUUUCUAAAUCUCUUACAUUUUCUCUUAUAGAUAUACGCAUGUUACGAUAGUCUUUAUAGUUCCAGUUCUAUCACUGUAACAAAAUAUAUUUUAAAUAAUAUUUUUUAGACAACGCUCUAUUAUAAUAUCUUCAAUAUUUGGUAUAUAUCAACAGUAUGACUAAAUAUUGUUAAUAAAUAUAUUUUUAUUAAAAUACUGAUAAAUUUUUCGACGCUAUAUUAAAGCGUCUGUAUAUAUAUCCCAACAUAUUUACUUAACGACUCUUUAUUCGAUAUUUUUACAGGUGUCGAGAUUAUUCUUACUGAUGCUUUAAAAACGAUCUCGAAUUUUUGUAAGUAGUAUUUCGUGAUGGACUAUUGAUGCAUAUAAAAAAAAAUUAUGUGGUUUGAUACUUUAGUUUAAAUCUAUAGAUGAAGAUGGAGCGAAAAUUUUAUUAUAGCCAAAAGUGCAGAAGAUAAGAUUUAUGCCCAUUGUUCACCCUUAUCUUGACCACAUGUUGCGGUCUAGGUUCUGGGGUGAAGAAGAUCUGCAUUAUUGCGCUUAUGUAUGUACUAUUUUCUUGACAAUUUGGGCAAUAGAAUUAAGCUCGUAUGUUUUUAAUAGUGUAAGUUAUUGAUGUUUGUAAAUUUUCGAUCUUUGAGUUAAGGGAUGUGCGGUUUGAAUGAAAAUAAUCUUCUUAGGUUGAUUGGAUAGUUGGUUGAAUAGUAUAUAUGCUCUAACGAGUAAAAAUAGUUAAAAGGAUAAAUCUAACGGCAGAAAACUUAUAAGCACUAAGUACUUGCUACUUUUGAAAACAUCAUAGUCGGACUCUCGAGCAAUAUUAGUUUUUAUAAACCGAUGAAAAAUAGAUUUAAGUAAUUGAUACCGUAAAUUUGAAAUUGUAGAUGUCGUGUAGCUUUUCCAGUUUAUAUAGUUUGCUCAGUAUAUAUUUAUCGUUUAGUUUAUGAAUUCCAUUUUUGUCUACUUCAAUAUCAAUCGAUUAUCAUAUUAUUCAUAAAUAAAAAUGGUGAAUAAAAAAGUGAAAUUGUAUCGUGCAAUUUGUGAAUAUAUAUUUUUAAUUUACCUUCUUUAAAUUAGUAUAAUUAUUUUAUUUAAUAUUUGUACAAUUUAAUUACUUUCAAUUAAAUAUAUUUUGUUUGCUAUGCAUUAAUUUUACUGCUUUAUGAAAUUUUAAAGGUAAAAAUAUAUGGUUUAAUAAAAAAGGAUUGAUGAUUUGCAAUGGGCAAGGUAGAAAUAAUUUUAAAAGAGUUGUCACUAAUCUUAAUAUUUUGAAUAAUUUUUUUAAAAUUAGGUAAAUAUAUUUUUUUGGCAUUAUUAUUUUAGAAACGCUUCUAUGUAUAUUAUGUGACUGAGGAUCAGAAGGAAAAAUUUUAGAAUGCAACUGGUAUAUUGGUGACGUGGCGUAACAAACUAAUCAAAUAUCUGGUAUAUUGGUGACGUGGCGUAACAAACUAAUCAAAUAUCUCCUUUUAGAAGUAUAUAUGUUCCAUCAUGAUUGUAAAAAAAUAUCGAUUAGAAGAGGGUACGUAGUUUCGGGACCACCUCCAUAUUGGUUAUAAGAUUGGAAUUAUUGGCACAUGCACGUGUUACGUGUACGUAGCUCGAUCGGAAUAUAUAUAUAUAUAUAUAGAACAAUAAUACAUAAUUAGCAGUAUGGCACUAUUAGGUAAUAAAUAAUAUGAAGUAACGACGAAAUUAAGCGUGCUUAUAUGGAUAUGCUUCAGCAUUAAUUUUUCAAAUGGGACCGCAAAUUAUGAUGCAUGUAUUAUCUGCUUCAAACCUCUUCAUCAUCAAAUCAUCUGCUUCGCCGAGAGAAGCCAACGACGAAGCCCACAUCACAGAAAGAAACAAAAAAAGAAACAAUACUUGGUACUUGGAAGCCAUAGCUCACACUUACGACUAGUUUUGUUGCUGAGAGUAAGGUUCUCCGCAUCGAGUUUAUGUACAAGUUCUCGACCUACUAAUUAAAGUUGCUGGACCAUUAAUGGACGUGAGAGGUCAAUUAUUCGGGGCUAUUAUUAUUAUUAUUAUUAUACGAUAUCAUUAUUGGCGGCAAUUUGCACCGCUGGUCACUGAGCCCUAAUAGCUACAUUUGGUUUGGGAACAAAUUUUGAGUAAUAAUUCGUUUAUCGUUCCACCAACAAACGAUAUUUGGGAAUUAUCUAGAAUAAGCACUAAAUUACAUUUGGAUGCUGUUUAUUGAGUUGAGUUGAAAUGCUAUUAAUAGUCUUUAAAUUUUUUUACUAUCGAUUUUUUAAUUCUUAGAUUUAUAUUUUAAUUAAUUUCUUAUUUAGGUCAUGCUAUUGAAUUUUAUAGGGAUAUAUUUAUAAUUAGUUAUGUUUACAAAAAACUAUACGUAAUUAACCCUAAAUUUAAUUAAAUUUUAAUUUUAAAAUUUUUUUAGAGGAAAAGACACAGUUUUCAGUUUCGUUCAUUUUGUGGUUUUUGUUUUUUUUUAUUUUUAAAGUAAAAUCUUAUUAUGUAGAGAGUUGGUGCUAAUGUGCAUGUGAUGAAAUUUCAUUAAUUGAUUUCUCUCUUCCGUUGUUCGAUCGGAAUGCCGCAAUCAUGAGAGGGACAGCAUUCCAGUGCUCCAUACGCCAGAGUUAUUGUGGCUGAGCUUGCACCUCUAUGUGGGACAAAAAUUUUGCGGGCACCAUCCCUAAAUUAAUAAUUUGGGGACCGUGCAAAUGGGUGUCACGUGAUUGGUUCGACGGAUGCCAAUUUUUACUAUUUUUUAUCUCUCUUUAGAAAAAUAGUAUAAUUUUUUUUUUUUUUUUCAUUGAUGGCAGUCGGAUGGACCACGUGACGCCCAUCCGCAUGGUCCCUCUAUGUGUUGUCCUUGUAUGAUUGAUGAUUGAUAGUACAACAUGUCUGGCACAACAGAAUAAGAAUAAGAGCCGCACGUAAAUUUAAAAUGAUAUAUGUAAAUUAACAAAUAUUAUUAUUGUUUAGAAUAGGUGUUUCUUUUUUUUAAGAGGGAACUCACCAAAAAUAGAAAAUUUUCUAGAUAAUGGCCGUUCCCUGAUACGUCAAUGUAUUGAAGGUGUUUUCGAUAAUAAAAUUGAGAUCUAGUAAAGUACAUUUACUGAAUAUAUAUGAGCGACGAUUUGUGAUAAUUUAUCUCUUCCUUCAAAAUCGUGUAGAAAUUAGAUAGAUUUUCUUUUAAUCGAACCGCUUCCGUAUUGAUCUAUAUAUAUAUAAUGUGAUUUGAAUACUCAUAAAAGGGGAUGGUGUACCAUUGCCCACUUUUAACAUGCACAAGACAUAGACUAUAAGUAAAAUUUACUUUUGUCUAAAUAAACGAAAGAUGAAAUAAUUAAUUUGAUUUGAUUUGAAAUUUAUAGUGGUGUUGGACCACAACAUACAUCUGAGUAAUUUAGAUACGACCUUAUUUUCUGUAGAUAUAUGAGAUUCGGUUAAAUUGCACUACAUGUCUCUGAACUUAAAUUUAAUUUUCAAAAAUUUGAUAUAUAUUUAAGACCGGACUUUUUGAAUUAUAUCAUUCUAGUCCUUAUUCUGAAUAAAAAAUGGGGUUAAAUUAUAGUCAAACUUUUCCCUGCAUGUGUCAGUUUACACCCUCAAUUUUUAAAUAUGUUGAAUGGGUAAAUUGCACUACUACUUCCCAAACUUCUAUUUUAGUCGUCAAUUUUUAAGUUUCGCAAUAUUUAGGACUCGUUGAAUGUAUCAUUCUAGCCCUUAGUUCAAAAAAAUAAAAAAUAAAAAAUAAAAAACUAUCGGAGAGAAAGAGAAAAGCUAAAUUUGUAGAAAACCUCCAUACAAAAGUUGUAUUUUACACUUUAUUUUCUUCAAUAUUUAAACUAUCAGGCAAAAUUAUUAUAUACCGACUAAGAUUUUAUAUUACAAUCACUCGCCCAAUCAUAUAUUAAGAAGCGGAAAAAGAUCUAAUAUGGUGUUAAUUAAAGAACUUGAAUCUUAUCCAAAAUAAGCGGUAAAGAUAGAUAACCUUCACAUUAGGUGUACUAUUUUAUUUUUAUCUAGUAAGAAACUAUACACAAGUACUCUAAUAAUAUAAUGUCUUUUCUAUUUCAAUUAUAUGUACUUUCCAUAUUGAACCUCACAUUACUUCAUAAAUAUUCAAAACAAAUAAAUCUAAAAAAAAAUUUCUCAAAAAACAAUAUAAAAAAAUAUUAUUAUUGAGAUAUUUUCGUAUCAUAAAGUUGCAUGUGAAUGUGCAGGACUUUUCAAAUUGUCUCGGGGGCCAUCCCAAUUAUUUUGCUGCCAACGUAUUCAAUGCGGUGACAACCGACAUUUAAUUAUUGGAGCAAAAAAAUGUAAGGAAACCCCUAAACUAUAAGCCUCUUUGAAAUAGCUCCUUCAAUCUAGUUUUUCUCUCAUUGCCCUCUUUUAUAUUAGUUUAGAGUGUGUUUGGUUCCACCUAAAAUUAUUUCAAUUUUUUUUUGGCAGUUGAAAAGUAAAUUCUCGAUGUUUGAUUGUUUGCAAAAAAAAUUUCUCAAUUUUUUUUUUUUACAGAUUCAAUAGAACUGGAGGAUUUUGUUCUCUGCUUGUUUCGAGAGGAAAACGAAAACUUCAGCCGCGAAAAUACGUGGCGUUUCGGAAAGGCGGGGAUGUGUAUCACGUGGUCCAAAAGGUGACCUCCACCUCGUGGACUGCAUGAGAGUCUCUCCCCCUUUUCUUAUAUAUAUAUAGAGUCCGGCAGCUAUACUCUAAUUAUGAGAACGAUCGCCCUCCUACUCAUAAGUCGUUUUCGAUAAUAGAGUUUCCGAAUCGACAAUCCAUACCGUUAAACAUUAUCUACAGUAUUUAAAACUUCUAGAAAUCAAAUUCUAUAGUAGGUCUUGUGUGCUUUUAGAAGUACAAGGCCUUCAUACUGCUAAACCGUUUUCGAUGAUAGAGAUUCUAAAUUAACGAUCGAUUCCGUUAGACUUGAUUUAGCAUAUUUGAAAUAUCUAAAAAAUAAAUUUUACGAUUUUUCGAUAUCAUUUAUCUAACGAUCAAAAGAGUUCAAAAUCAACGGUUGAAAAUAAAAAUCUCACAAAAAGCGGUGAUAUGGACACUAAAAUUUUUGAUUAGAGAUAUUGAUCUUGCUAUAAAUAGUAUAAAUAAUUUUUUAUAAAAAUUUUAUCUGAUUUGAAUAAUUAUACACGGUUAAAUUUGCAAACAGUAUAUAUAUAUCAACAAUUAACAAUUAUUAAUUUUGAUCCCUUUCGAUCAUUAAGUAAAUGAUAUUAAAAAAUCACAAAAUUUAUUUUCUAAAUAUUUUAAAUACGCUAGAUCAAGUUUAACGGAGCUGAUCGUUAAUUCAAAAGCUCCAUCAUCAAAAAUAGUUUAGAAGCACAGAGGCUCGAUCCGUGCUUCUAAUAGCGUAGUUGAAAUAUUCAAAAACUCCAUCAUCAAUGAUCGGUGCGAAUUAAGGAAGAAAAAAUUCAACUUAUCUUACAAAAUUAUUUUGGGAAAUCCUCGCUGCACAAUUAGGCGAAUCCUAUGCCCAAAUGAACAUCAAGAGAUUGAUAAAAAAAAGGGAGAGCAAAGAAAUGGGUUUAAAAAAACACAAGGAGGGCCCCAAUCCACCUCUCCUCCACCCAAAUAAAUGUACGCGGUACCGCCACGUUGGAUUAAACUGUGAUUUUAUAAAUUUUUAUUAUAGAAGAUGUUAUCAACAAAAAAUUUUAAUUCUUAUAUUUUUUUAUAUAUAAAGUGAAAAUUUUUAUUUUAGUUUAUUUUAAUAUCUUUUCUGUGAAACAAUCGUUGUACUCUAAAAACUUAAAUUGUUAGAGAACGAUGUUUAAACAUUUUUUAUAUUUAACACUCCCCCUCACGUCUGGGCUUGAGACUUUUUAGUCGGCCCAUGACGUGAGCUUGAAUUAAAUGGGAGGAAAUUAAUAUGUUAGGAGUCUGGCGUGACUCCAACUCAAGACCUCCUGCUCUGAUUUAGAUGUGAAACAACUGUUGUACUCUAAAAGCUUAAACUGUUAGAGAACGGUGCUUAAACAUUUUUCAUAUUUAACACUCCCCCUCACGUCUGGGCUCGAGACUUUUUAGUCGGCCCAUGACGUGGGCUUGAAUUAAAUGGGAGUAAAUUAAUAUGCUAGGAGCCUGGCGUGACUCGAACUCAGGACCUCCUGCUCUGAUACCAUGUGAAACAUCCGUUGUACCCUAAAAGCUUAAGCUGUUAGAGAACGGUGUUUAAACAUUUUUUAUAUUUAACAUUUUCCUGCAUUUGAUUCAAAAUUUAUUACAAACUAAUAGGUUGAUGAUGUCUUCUGUUUUUAUUUAAUAUCUAAAUUUGAGGGCAGUGAGUACCCCAAUUUAAUUUUUUUAAUUCAAUAUCAUUUGAUUAUCAAAUUAUUCAUAAAUAAAAAUGGUGAAUAAAAAGUGAAAUUGUAUCGUACAAUUUGUGAAUAUAUAUUUUUAGUUUACCUUGUUUAAAUUAGUAUGAUUGUUUUAUUUAAUAUUUGUACAAUUUAAUUACGUUCAAUUAACUAUAUUUUGUUUGCUAUGCAUUUUACUGCAUUUAUGAAAUUUUAAAGGUAAAAAUUUAUAGUUUAAUCAAAAAGUAUUGAUGAUUGGCAUUGGGCAACGUAGAAAUUUUGAAAGAGUUGUCACUAAUCUUAAUAUUUUGAAUAAUUUUUUUUCAAAUUAGCUAAAUAUUUUUGGCAUUAUUAUUUUAGAAAAGCUUCUAUGUAUAUAAUGUGACAAAGGAUUAGAAGAGGGUACGUAGAUAUGAUGUUAUUCCUAGGUAAUACACUAAUUACCUUAACUCUUUGAAUGGUUCAUAAGGCGGAAACAUUUUGAUAAUUAAUAUAAAGGGUACAACUCGAUCUUUCUUUCUUUUUUUUUCUUUUUUUUCUUUUUUUUUUUUUGAGAAAAGGUAGUGAAGCUACCUGCUUCAUUCAUUAGGCUAAAUAAACUAAGCAUAUAUGAUUGAGGCAACUAAGGCCUCCGGAAGGGUCUUGAAGAAAAACAAAAUAAAUGGAAAAAAAAGGAAAAAAAAGAAAAAAGACAAAAAAGUAGACAACAGUGAAUAAACCUUACUAAAAACGGUCGUCCCAAUAAGGUACCAAAACAGGGUGCGCGGUCGAGUCAAAGUGCGUCAGCCCAGUCUUUGAUCAAGUAAGUGACACGUUCGAUGGCCCGGGCAGCGUUAGAACGUGUAUCGCGAAAAAUAAUAUUAUUACGUUCCGUCCAUACCACCAACCAGAUUGCCUCUAGAUGAGCCCGGCUUUGACUCGAUCAUUACUAGGCUUUGACUCGAUCAUUACUCCGGUACAUUCUAGUUUUGUAUACUCCAGCUCCGAGGAGAACACAACGCUCGUUUCCGAGAUGCAGAACAAAUUAAACAGAUGCUGUAGCAUCAUGUCACGUUUCAAAUUGUUUCGUGACCACCUCAAUAUAUGUUCACUUUUUUGUACACAUGGUUACUGCAGAUUGAACCAGCACGUGACCGAUACGUACGUUUAGUCCCCAUUAAGAUUGGAAUUAUUGGCACAUGCACGUGUUAGGUGUACGUAGCUCGAUCGGAAUAUAGAACAAUAAUACAUAAUUAGUAUGGCACUAUUAGGUAAUAAAUAACAUGAAGUAACGACGAAAGCAAGCUUAUAUGGAUAUGUUUCAGCACUUUUCAAAUGGGAUGGCAAAUUAUGAUGUACGAAAUAUAUUAUUACAUACAAAAAUAAAUAAAAUAUUUAUUUAUCAUAUUUUUUCUUUACAGGUGGCACAAUCUUUCAAUAAUUUCAAACAAAGCGUUAGUGUAUUAGAAUUUUAAUUCUUGAAUGAGAAAUUGUUGGAUUAAAAUGAUAUUAGUAUCUUAGAGUUGAGUGAUUCCUCUAAAGUUGAGUGGUUCCUACUGAAUUAUAAUAUUUAAUUCAAUAAUUUAAAAUAAUAAAAAGAAUUGAUCCAAAAAACCUAUAGCAAAAAUGGCCUUUUGGUAUCAAUAGUAUUCUAUCCCAUCUCUCUCUCUCUCUCUCUCUCUCUUUCUCUCUCUCUCUCUAUAUAUAUAUAUAUAUAUAUAUAUGAAUCAGGCUGGGAUACUAUCAAUAGGACCAAGCGUUUAGUGCUAUCAAGUUUUUCACUGUUAGAUUUAACUCUUUGACUAUUUUUAUCUGUUAGAUUAUACUAUUAAACCGAUAACUUAUUCAACCCUAGGAGGCCCACAUUAUUUUAACCGUAUAUUUUUUCAUCCAAGGACCGAAAAUCUAAUAGCACCAAUAGUUUGGUGCUAUUGAUAAUAUUCCAGCCUAGUUCUAUAUGCACACACAGGUCUUGUGUGCUAUUAGGAGCACAGAAGUCUUCGUGCUCCUAAGUCAUUUUUUAUGAUGAAGUUUUUGAAUCGACGAUCGAUUCCAUUAGACUUGAUUUAUCUAUUUAAAAUAUUUAGAAAAUAAAUUUUAAAGAAAGCGCUAGUGGAUUAGCAUUUAGCGAGUUAGAUUUCAAUUUCUUACCUCACAUGUAGUGUGUGGGCUUAGAUUUCAACUUCUUACCUCACAUCUAGUGUGUGGGCAUGUACGUAAUUGCACCGCACAGAGCAAUAUAGAUGCACAAUUCUAUUAACUGCUACAGGCUUUACAUACCAUUACUUGAUGAUCUUAUUCGGAUAAAAAUUUGCUAGGCAUCAUCCCCAAAUUAUAAGUUGGGGGACGAUGCGGAUGUGUGCCGCAUCGCCCUUCCGACACGCGCCCAUGGAAGGAAAAAAAAAAAAUGGCGCCCUGUGUUUAUAUAGAGAGAGAGAGUGAGAGAGAGAGAGAGAGCAGAGGGAGGGAGGAGAGUGAUCGUCGGAUGGGUCAGGCGGCGCCCAUCUGUAUCAUCUAGUUUGGAGACCAUGCCCAGCAACUUUUUGUCCAACUUACUCAUCAAAACAGCAUAAACUUACAAAAUUAAAUACAAACAGUUGGCUACUAAAUAUAUAUUAGGCAGCCAGUGGAACUGAUAAUAAUGCAACAAAAAUACAAAUGAAAACAGCAAGCCCUACUCGAUCAUACAGAUAAUCUUCGCACGAGCAUCGCCCGAUUUAUUACAUAGCUUAUAAGGUACGUAGCACACAGGGCACUUCAUUGCAUGCUAAAUCGCAGCUUCGAUAACCCUUACAUGGAGCUGACACGAUCAUCCGAACCCAUGUCAGAGGGUUCUGUAAUGCGCGGUGACGAAACAAGAGUCGGGUAAAUACCAUAGCUAGCCAGACCACAUAAUCCAGGAUAUGCCGUGUCUCUUAACAUCCUCACGUAUCCAUUUUCUCCCCACCUGUUGCCCCAUGAAUUCUUUAUUAUCCAAUACUUGUCUCCGGUGCUGCUGUCCUGCCCGUAACCUACGACGGUAACGGCAUGGAAAAUAUUUGUCCCACAAGGUCCUUUAAAGAUACCGCCAUUGUAGUAAUUGAAGUAAUAAGAGCUAGCAUCAAUAGCAAUAACUGUCGGCUGGUUCGCCACAGCAUACAUGAUCGCGCGUUCAUCGUAGCUAGGUUGUACAUAUUGAUAGCCGGUAAUAUAAGCUGCAUUCGGUUUGUUAUUUCUGCAAGUGCCUUUGUAUCCUACAUAGGGAUAG
rnacentral:lncRNA from 1 species